UACACGAGUGGCGAACGGGUGAGUAACACGUGAGUAACCUGCCCACUUCUUCGGGAUAACGCUAGGAAACUGGUGCUAAUACCGGAUAUGAGCUCCUGCCGCAUGGUGGGGGUUGGAAAGUGUUUGUGGUGGUGGAUGGACUCGCGGCCUAUCAGCUUGUUGGUGAGGUAGUGGCUCACCAAGGCGGUGACGGGUAGCCGGCCUGAGAGGGUGACCGGCCACAUUGGGACUGAGAUACGGCCCAGACUCCUACGGGAGGCAGCAGUGGGGAAUAUUGCACAAUGGGCGGAAGCCUGAUGCAGCAACGCCGCGUGCGGGAUGACGGCCUUCGGGUUGUAAACCGCUUUCACCAGGGGCGAAGGCAUCCUUUUGGGGUGUUGACGGUACCUGGAGAAGAAGCACCGGCUAACUACGUGCCAGCAGCCGCGUGAUACGUAGGGUGCGAGCGUUGUCCGGAUUUAUUGGGCGUAAAGGGCUCGUAGGCGGUUGAUCGCGUCGGAAGUGAAAACUUGGGGCUUAACCCUGAGCGUGCUUUCGAUACGGGUUGACUUGAGGAAGGUAGGG
rnacentral:rRNA from 1 species